UGACUCACACUGCUCUUGCAUUGGUCACAUCAAACAUUGUGUUUGUGAUUGUCAUCAUUCUACUGACAUGUGGGAUAUGCAAUGAAAGGACCAGGGGGCCUAAAGAUGCAACUGAUAGAUCACCAACCCCACCAGUUGAUCAGAACCAAGACAGUGACAUGGUAAACUAUGCAGCUGUGAGUUUCACCACCAAGAAAAGCUCCUCCUCCAGAAGAGAGAGAGCCAAGACCAGCAGAGAGGAUGCAGAGCACUCUGAGGUCAGGUUCUUUCAGCAGGAGUGAGACAUGUGAAGACCCUCACCACAUUGAACAGAAACUACAUCCAUAUACGUUAGAAAUAACUUUGAAGGCCUUGUGAUGACUGGUAAAACAACUGCUUUUAGUGCAUAAAUAACAUCUAAGUAAACUAGGAAAUAGCUCUACUUGUAACCUAGAAAAGCGACUUGUACAGAAUGCACUAAACA